rnacentral:rRNA from 1 species
GAGGGAAACCGAGUCUUAAUUGGGCGUUAAGUUGCAGGGUAUAGACCCGAAACCCGGUGAUCUAGCCAUGGGCAGGUUGAAGGUUGGGUAACACUAACUGGAGGACCGAACCGACUAAUGUUGAAAAAUUAGCGGAUGACCUGUGGCUGGGGGUGAAAGGCCAAUCAAACCGGGAGAUAGCUGGUUCUCCCCGAAAGCUAUUUAGGUAGCGCCUCGUGAAUUCAUCUCCGGGGGUAGAGCACUGUUUCGGCUAGGGGGCCAUCCCGGCUUACCAACCCGAUGCAAACUGCGAAUACCGGAGAAUGUUAUCACGGGAGACACACGGCGGGUGCUAACGUCCGUCGUGAAGAGGGAAACAACCCAGACCGCCAGCUAAGGUCCCAAAGUCAUGGUUAAGUGGGAAACGAUGUGGGAAGGCCCAGACAGCCAGGAUGUUGGCUUAGAAGCAGCCAUCAUUUAAAGAAAGCGUAAUAGCUCACUGGUCGAGUCGGCCUGCGCGGAAGAUGUAACGGGGCUAAACCAUGCACCGAAGCUGCGGCAGCGACACUCAGGUGUUGUUGGGUAGGGGAGCGUUCUGUAAGCCUGCGAAGGUGGCCUGUGAGGGUUGCUGGAGGUAUCAGAAGUGCGAAUGCUGACAUAAGUAACGAUAAAGCGGGUGAAAAGCCCGCUCGCCGGAAGACCAAGGGUUCCUGUCCAACGUUAAUCGGGGCAGGGUGAGUCGACCCCUAAGGCGAGGCCGAAAGGCGUAGUCGAUGGGAAACGGGUUAAUAUUCCCGUACUUGGUGUUACUGCGAAGGGGGGACGGAGAAGGCUAUGUUGGCCGGGCGACGGUUGUCCCGGUUUAAGCGUGUAGGUGUGUGUUCCAGGUAAAUCCGGUUCACUUUAACACUGAGGCGUGACGACGAGGCACUACGGUGCUGAAGCAACAAAUGCCCUGCUUCCAGGAAAAGCCUCUAAGCAUCAGGUAACACGAAAUCGUACCCCAAACCGACACAGGUGGUCAGGUAGAGAAUACCAAGGCGCUUGAGAGAACUCGGGUGAAGGAACUAGGCAAAAUGGUGCCGUAACUUCGGGAGAAGGCACGCUGACAUGUAGGUGAAGUGAUUUACUCAUGGAGCUGAAGUCAGUCGAAGAUACCAGCUGGCUGCAACUGUUUAUUAAAAACACAGCACUGUGCAAACACGAAAGUGGACGUAUACGGUGUGACGCCUGCCCGGUGCCGGAAGGUUAAUUGAUGGGGUCAGCGCAAGCGAAGCUCCUGAUCGAAGCCCCGGUAAACGGCGGCCGUAACUAUAACGGUCCUAAGGUAGCGAAAUUCCUUGUCGGGUAAGUUCCGACCUGCACGAAUGGCGUAAUGAUGGCCAGGCUGUCUCCACCCGAGACUCAGUGAAAUUGAACUCGCUGUGAAGAUGCAGUGUACCCGCGGCAAGACGGAAAGACCCCGUGAACCUUUACUAUAGCUUGACACUGAACAUUGAGCCUUGAUGUGUAGGAUAGGUGGGAGGCUUUGAAGUGUGGACGCCAGUCUGCAUGGAGCCGACCUUGAAAUACCACCCUUUAAUGUUUGAUGUUCUAACGUGGACCCGUGAUCCGGGUUGCGGACAGUGUCUGGUGGGUAGUUUGACUGGGGCGGUCUCCUCCUAAAGAGUAACGGAGGAGCACGAAGGUUGGCUAAUCCUGGUCGGACAUCAGGAGGUUAGUGCAAUGGCAUAAGCCAGCUUGACUGCGAGCGUGACGGCGCGAGCAGGUGCGAAAGCAGGUCAUAGUGAUCCGGUGGUUCUGAAUGGAAGGGCCAUCGCUCAACGGAUAAAAGGUACUCCGGGGAUAACAGGCUGAUACCGCCCAAGAGUUCAUAUCGACGGCGGUGUUUGGCACCUCGAUGUCGGCUCAUCACAUCCUGGGGCUGAAGUAGGUCCCAAGGGUAUGGCUGUUCGCCAUUUAAAGUGGUACGCGAGCUGGGUUUAGAACGUCGUGAGACAGUUCGGUCCCUAUCUGCCGUGGGCGCUGGAGAACUGAGGGGGGCUGCUCCUAGUACGAGAGGACCGGAGUGGACGCAUCACUGGUGUUCGGGUUGUCAUGCCAAUGGCACUGCCCGGUAGCUAAAUGCGGAAGAGAUAAGUGCUGAAAGCAUCUAAGCACGAAACUUGCCCCGA